rnacentral:rRNA from 1 species
AGGACGAACGCUGGCGGCGUGCUUAACACAUGCAAGUCGAACGGGGAUAAUUGUGGAAGUUCUUCGGGAUGGAAAUGAUUAUUCGAGUGGCGGACGGGUGAGUAACGCGUGAACAAUCUGUCCCAGACAGGGGGAUAACACUUGGAAACAGGUGCUAAUACCGCAUAAGACCACAGCAUCACAUGGUGCAGGGGUAAAAGGAGCGAUCCGGUUUGGGGUGAGUUCGCGUCCGAUUAGCCCGUUGGCGGGGUAACGGCCCACCAAAGCGACGAUCGGUAGCCGAUCUGAGAGGAUGACCGGCCACAUUGGAACUGAGAGACGGUCCAAACUCCUACGGGAGGCAGCAGUGGGGAAUAUUGGGCAAUGGGCGAAAGCCCUGACCCAGCAACGCCGCGUGAGUGAAGAAGGCUUUCGGGUUGUAAAGCUCUGUUAUAGGGGACGAAGGAAGUGACGGUACCCUAUAAGGAAGCCCCGGCUAGCUACGUGCCAGCAGCCGC